AGUCCUGAAAACCUAGAGGGAAGAGAGUCAAGGAGGAGAAAGUAACCCACAGUGCCCAAGGCUGCAGAGAGGUCAAGGGGCAUGAGGACAGAGAAAGAGCCAUUGGAUUUGGGCACUAAGAAAUCACAGGUCACUUUGGAGGGAGCAGUUGGGGUGCAAUGAGGAGACCAGAAGGCAUUGUGGUCAUUGUUCAUCCUUGGUUUUUGACAAGAACUAGCAGAAUUCAUAAACAUGGAAGUGGCACAUUUGUGGGUGAUUAAGAUUUGUGAGUGGACAUGAUCAAGGGUAUGACCAUCCUUGUGUCCAGCUAAGGUGAGGUUGAAGGUCAUGGGAAGUGAAUAGGUUGAAGAACUGGGAGGUUCAGGUGUUUGAGGGAGUAUCAAUACUUAUGUCAAGUUCCUAGAAUGGGUCUAGGCAUUUGGGGAUCCUACACAAAAUCCUCUGGCAUUCAAGGCCGUUUAUAGCCUAGUUCCCCACCCAGCCACCCGCCUUCCUAGUCUUCUAGCACUUCACUGCCCUGCCACAUUCUCUUCCAUCCAGUGGCACUGGCUCUCCUGGCUGGUCCAUGAACAAGCUACAAGGGUUUCUGGCCUCCAGCAUCUCCUCUGGCAUGCCCUUGCAGGGAUGCUCACCCUCCCUCCUGCCUUCCCUCCAGCUAAAACCCCAUUUUCUCUCCCAAUCUUUUCCCAAUUGCUCUUGGUUCGAGGGUCUUCCUUCGGCGAAUUAUUUCCUCUUUAGCCUGUUCCGGGCUCCUGGAUAUGUAUUGUGGUCUCCCCCAUUAGACUGUGAGCGGCUCAGAGGAAUGGACGUCUUUUGCGGCAGCGCUCAGCAGGACAGGAGCACCUAAGAACGCUCGAUCGAUGGGUGGAUUGCGGAGGAUGACCUCAUCCAGGAGGUCUGCUGAUUGGGCGGAGGCGUGACCUCUGCCUAGGCCUCAGCUUCCUUCUCAGUAAGAGAAGGGGUGUGGACAGCCUCGGACACCUGGACAGAAAGGGCAGAUGAGGUUCUCCGGGCCCCGCCCCCGUCCCCCCAAGGGGCGUGGCCAGGCCUCCACGCGGCUCCUCCUUUUUGCUCACCCCUCCCGCUGCCCUGACGUUAUCGCCCGCCUCUCGCGAGACUUGCGUUUGCCGCUUCUGCACGCAACGUGCUACCCGCCCGCUGUGUUCCUAACGGCUGCGGGUGAGUGAAGCUGGCCGAGGCCGAGCCCGAGGGGGCUCCGUGUUCUCGAGUCAGGGCCCACGGAGUGCCUGGGGGGCAACAGCUGUCCCUGGGCGACCCCGAGGGGGAGACCCUCCUCCAGAAGAAGCCGGGAGGAUGGAGGGGGAACGCGGCUCACGUGACCGCGGGGGCAGGACUUCCUUCUGGUGGGGUCACGUGGCCUCGGAGCGCGGCUCCCUUCUAGUCAGGGCUUUGUUUCGUGGUCCCUGGGCUUCUGCUAGGGUAAUAAUGAUUAACACCAACAUGUCUGUGUGGCGCUUUAGGCUUGAAGGGUGCUUCAUCUGCACACGGAGGGCCCGCCACGUCCUUCCCCAGAUCAUUUUACAGAUGAGGAAACUGAGGCAGACGGGGGGAAGUAACUUGCCCACGGUCACCCCGCCAGUGUCUGAGGCCGGAUUUGGACUCGGGUCUCCUUGACUCCUGGCCCGGCGCUCUGUGACUCUACUUGUCUGUCUCCCCCUCGCCUUUGCCCCAGACCCCUACCCAUACCUCGGGCUCGGGCCGGGCCUCUCGGAAAUCGGGUGUCUCAGGUCGGGGCGCCGGGGGUCUUGAGGGUGGGCUCCUCGGACACGCCCAGCCCCCCCAAUGGGGGCUGCCUUUGGGCCGGGGGCCAUGGUGUCUGGGCUGGGUUCUAGGCUGUCACAGGUGGGAGGGGCCUUAGAACAGGGGAUGUCAGAGCUGGGAGGAGCCUUGGAGCAGAGAGCAGGGGAUGGCAGUCCAGAGAGGGGACAGCCAUCACCUGAAGUCACAGAGAGGCAGAGGCAGGUAUGGAACCCAGUUCUCCUGCUUCCUGGUCCAGGGCUCCUGAAAAUGAUGGGGUUGGACUAAGGGCUCUUUAAGGUUCUUUCCAGCUGGAUUUCUAGGAGUCUGAAGGAUGACCAGAUCCCUGCCCUCAGGGAGCUUGUAUUUGGGUAAAGGAAUGAACACUGAGGCCAGGGGCCCUUUGACUUUGUUGGGGAGGGAGGGAAUGCGUUUCUCUGCCUCUGGCUCAGCUUUUUGCUUCUCCUGUCCUCGGUCCAGAUCUCCUGGUUCUCCCUAUGCCUCCUGGUCCUGGAGGGAGCACAGCGGCCUCGAGGCUUCCCCGGCUGGUCCCCCGGAUCACUAAGCAUUUAUUAAGCACCUACUGUAUGCCAAAUACUGUGCUAAUCACUGGGAAUGCAAUGAAAAGGAAAGCCACAGUCCCUGACCUUAAGAAGUUCACAGUCUGAUGGGAGAAACAACCUAGAGAGAAGGGGAGGGGGAGGAGACAGAGACAGAGAGAAGGGGAGGGAGAGAAAGAGGACUGGAAGGAUAGCUAGACUGACAGAGGCAGAGGAAUGGAAGGAUGAGAAAGAUAGAUGUAAUAGAGCAUUUCUCAUGUGCUCACUGUGUGCCGUGCUGGACUUACAAAGAAAGGUAAACAGCCCCUGACCUCAAAGAGCUCCCACUGGAAUGAGGGUGGAGAUCCCACCCCAGGGGUUUGCAGAAUGGCUAGAAGGUCAUGUUGGGGGGGGGGGAUGCACUGGCAGCUCUCUGGCUCUCUAGCUGGACCAGGAAAGGCCUCCUGCAGACGCUGGGACUGAGGAAGCCAGGAUUGCUGGGACAAGGGGGGGCUCACGUGGUGGGCACCUGCAGAUGGCUCUCUGAGAAGAUUCCACCGGUUUGCCAUCCCAACAACAGAGGGAACCUGUUUGUCUCAGCCCUGCCAGCGCUGGGCCAUGGUGCUUUUCAGGAUGUUUGCCAGCUUGAUGGGGGUUCCUGUCCUUCACAUAAACUGCACUCACUCCAACCAAGCUAGGCUGAUCACUUCAGCAAGGUCUCAAGGUAAUGCAACAAAAACGAGUUCAAAUCCUGCCUCUGGCUUACUGACUGUAUGACCCUGGGUAAGUCAUUUAACCUUUUUCUGCCUCAGUUUCUCCCUCUGUAUACUGAUAGGUUGGGGCAAGAUGACCGUUUCAGUCCUUUUCAGGGCUGGUCUGUGCCUUUGCUUACACCAUCACCUAUGCUUGGAAUGAACUCCAUGAUCCUGUCUCUCCCCCUGCUCCCAUCCCUCCCUUUCAUGCCCCACUCUGGUCCUGCCUCUUGGACCCUCCCAGGUGAAGGGAAUGUUGCCCUCCCUCUGCACAUCUCCUGUGCCCCUUUCACUCUUGGCUCUGUUGGGGUUAUUGGCUGUCAAGCUUCCUGAGGGCCAGGCUGGUAGUGUACAGUGCUGAGCUGAGGGCCCUGGGCAGAGCACCUUCCUCCUGAGGCGGGGGUCGGGGGGGGGCCAGCUCCCCAGCCCUGUGCUCUGACUCCUUCACUCUCAUGGCAGUGCCUUCUGCUGUGCUGGAAAAAAGCCCAAGACUUGGGUUCAAAUCCUAGCUGCCCAUGUGACUUGCACUGAGUCCCUUGAGCUCUCUAGGCCUCGGUGUUCUGUUCUGACAAAGGGGACUUCUCCUGGAUGUCCUCUCAAGUGUCAGGAUCGGAGGUUUAGUCCUGGAAGGAACCUUCGAGCCCCUCUAGUCUCGGCCAGUGCUUCUUAAACCUCGCGUCUCGACCCUCUGUGGGGUCGAGUAACUGAAUGUAGGGGUCUUGAAAAAUUUGGCCACAGUCCAAGGUUUCUGAAUGCUCAGGACCAAAGUUUAAUUCAGAAUCCGCCGUGUAAUGAGCCCGAGGUGUUUCUGGCGGCCUUUGCCCGUAUUGCACCUUGAGACCACCCCGCAGGCUUGGUUCUGAGCACACAGCAUGCACACUUUGCACUGCCGACGCUGCCAAAACCACCUUGGCUCAGAUUCGAGACUUUCGUGUGCUAUGAAUUAGCGUUCUUACUAUACAUACACAGUCGUCAAUUGAAUUUGGGCUUGGGAGUGGGACAGAAUUUCCAGCAAUGUCUGCAAUGGCCAUUUUGUACCUCUUAUUUAUGCGAAGCAGAGUUGUCAGCAUUGAGGAUUAUGAAGCCAUUGAUCAACUCUGAAAAAAACGGGAAGAGGCUUUGCAUCCUGCAUGAUCAGCUCUUCCACCAAGAUUUAAUGUUUUAGGAGCCAGGCAAGGCAGUGGGUGGGGGUCCCCUGCCUAGCAGCCUAAGCCUCCCAGGAGAAGAGGAGGAGGCGGUGCUGUACCCUCUGGCCAUCAUCAUGUGGUGAGGAAACAGAAGCCUAGAGAAGUUAAGUGACUGGCCCAGGGUCACCCAGCCUGACUCUGUCCGUCAUACCCUGCAGCCUCUCAACUGAAACUGCUCUCUCCAGGCUGGCCAAAGAGAGAUUUCUUUAGUGCUGGAUCCAGUGACCUUGGUUCCACGUUGGAUUCUUCCCCUUGCUACCUGGGUGACCCUGGCUUUCGAUAUGGCUAGCCUCUCCUCCCUCACCUCCUGGAUGCCCUUCUCCCAUUUCCAGGCAGCUGCUGGAGCCUGUGGAUCUGCUCAGCUCCGGUCCUUCAAGGCCACUGUGGCCCUGGGUCCUGCUCAGCCUGAGACAGCAUCUGGGUCAGCAGAGCUAGGAGCCAAGGGGCUCCAGGGCCCGAUGUCAGCACAGCUGGUGGCCUGUGGUCCUGUGACUGAUGUGUUAGCAGUCGUAUCUCCAAAGAGGGAUGGCAGGGAGACCUUGGCACUGUAUUUAGUCACCCAGCAUGCCAUUCCCUGGGCCCGCUCCGCCCUGAGCACCUCCCUACUGUCCAGUAGAGUGUAAGCUGCUUGAGGACAGGCUCUCCCUCUUGUGUCUAUCAUCUGACAGCUCCUGGCACUUAAAAAGUGAUCCAUUGAUGGGUCAGUCAUCAGACGAGGCGCUUUUUGUCCUCCCCGUCUCGGGGAAGCCCCUUCAGGACCACUGGGUGCCGGCUCAAGUUAGGCUGGAGACCUGUGGCCUCAGAGUCUGUGAGAAGGAAGCUGGUUCAAGGCUGGGCCUCUGGGGUGGGCAGCGGCCAGCCUUGGCACUGCUGGGAGAUGGGCACUGCUGGUGCCAGGGCCUGCUCACCAGCUCUCUUUCCUCUGCUCUUCAGAGUAGACGAGGACUUGGAGAAGAUCUUGAGCUUAGGGUCAGAGCCCAGACCCCAAGCCCUGCCCAGGGCCAAGCCUCAGGUGCCCGCCAAACCAGCAAUCCCCAAGAGGCCCACGAUCCCACCACCAAAGGCUGUUGCCCCAGUGGUGAGAGCGGCCCCGAGGGAGGACCAGCGGCAGGUGCGGGUCCAAGCUCUGAAUGAGCCCGGACAUCCUGAGAUUAUCCAACCCACUCACCAUUGGCACCUGGAAUGUGCACACGCUUGUGGACAACACAAAUUUCAGUAGACCUGAGAGAGCUCAGCAGGUGUCACAAAGAGCAGCUCUGAGUGAAACAAGGUUGGCAAAGGAAGGCCAGCUCACUGAAGUUGGAGCAGUGAAGGGGAGCACCAUGAGGCUGGCGUAGGUUUCAUGGUCAGAUCUGAUGUGGUCAGCCGUUUGGUAUGCCUCCCGAAAGAAGUGAAGGAGGCUCAUGACAGCGCGAUUGCCACUUGCAGAAAAGCGCCAUGCUGCCAUCAUCAGUGCCUGCACUCCCACCGUGAAGGCCCCUAAUGAGGUAAAAAUAAAAUUUUACAAAGACCUGGAGACCCUCAUCAUCAGUGUGCCGACACAGGACAAGCUUAUGAUUCUGGGUGACGCCAGAGGAGGCCGAGACUGUAAGAUGUGGCCAGGAGUCCUUGGGAGGAAUGGCGUUCAGAAGAGCACCAGCAGCAGUCUCUUACUACUGAAGACGUGUUCCUCUCACAGCCUGCUUGUCACCAACACAGUCUUCCAGCUGCCUGACCACAGCAAAAUGUCAUGGAUGCACCCUCGCAGCAAAUGGCAUUUACUAGCCUACAACAUUGUAGGAGAAGAGACAGACAGGACGUGAGAGUGAAGAAGGCGAUGUGUGGAGCAGAGUGCGGGGUGAUCGUAGAAUCAUCCGCUCCAAGCUAAACAUCCACGUUCAACACAAGCAGCAGUCCCAAGGCAGGUGCACUACCAGUAGACUUCAUGUCAAUAGAUUAGAGCGCCUCUCUGAGCCUUCACAGAGAAGAAAGAGGGGGCAGCUCGCUGGCGCAGUGGAGAGAGCACCAGCCCUGGAGUCAGGAGGACCUGAGUUCA